rnacentral:rRNA from 1 species
UACGGAGGAUGCAAGCGUUAUCCGGAAUGAUUGGGCGUAAAGCGUCCGCAGGUGGCUAUGUAAGUCUGCUGUUAAAGAGUGAGGCUCAACCUCAUAAGAGCAGUGGAAACUACAUGGCUAGAGUGCGUUCGGGGCAGAGGGAAUUCCUGGUGUAGCGGUGAAAUGCGUAGAGAUCAGGAAGAACACCAGCGGCGAAGGCGCUGCUCUGGGCCGGUACUGACGCUGAGGAGCGAAAGCGUGGGGAGCGAACAGG